CGAAUCUUAUCAUCUUCACUUAACCUCUAAUGAUAGGUGUAAAGUCUUGUCCGCGUCCUCCCUAUGGUGUACUAGUGUCAAAUAAAUGCAUAAGCUUGUUUCGAUCCCUCAAAAGUUACCUCUCCAAGCAGAAAGAUCGUCUAAUUCCAAAAGUGGCUCGCAAAAAAGUGGUGGUUUAAUUAGGCAGCCCAUCCGGUUUUAGUUGGACUUGGAGAGCACCAGCCCGUUAUUCUUCCACUGCACAGAGCGGGAGCUAUUCGUUGCUCUGUGAAACCAGCCUCACGCAGUCCACCCCACUCUAAGAGCCAAGUAGCCCAUACUUUUGUUUGGACCACGUGACUCACCUCUGUGCUUGGAUAGGGCAGGCCGGAGAUUAGCUCACCAAGCCCAGCCAUCACGAACAACCCAACAUUCCCCCACUUUGAUGCCCCCACUUAGGUCAGAAGCCCACGUUACAAGGCUCGGCAAUGUCAGGUCCAUCUCAUCAAACUAAUAAACACGAAUAAGUCAUUGUUCAAAAACAAUGCGGGAGAAAUGCCUUUAUUUUAACAUUGAAUAAGUUGUUGCAAUGACAUAUAACAGUUGUAGCAGAAAGCAUAAUAUGGAUAUCAGUGAAAACUGUCGAUCUUUAUUAUAGUGGCAAAGUGAAACACGAUCAAAGUUCCGAAAUUACUUUUGUAUUUAUCCUCAAGUAUAUAUAAUUCACUUAGUAGUAGAUUUUGAAUCAUACAUCAUGAUCAAAAAUCUCAUGAUAUGUUAAUUCGAUAGCCUAGGAAGUGUAAGUAGUUAAUUUGCUACCUUCAUAAUUCGUGUAAAAAGGUUCUCAAAGGAUUUGCUUGACUAAGUGUACUCCAACUACAAUUGAGUUCAUACUUCUGGGAGUUACUUAGUGAUCAUGUGCUGCACAGCAUUAACUUAGUUCACUAGUAACACUUUGUGUAUCGGAUGAAUCAUCUUGCAUUGGUGUUGUUGGAAAUGUGAAAUUUAUGUUAAGAGAGCAUUUUCUCCCUAAAUGACCAUGGUGCAAAUAUGAAUUAAAAAAGUGGUGGUUUAAUUAGGCAGCUUAUCCGGUUUUUAUUGAACUCGAAGAGCACCAACCUGUUAUCCUUCCACUGCACAGACCGGGGACUACUCGUUGCUCUGUGAAACCAGCCUCACGCAGUCCAUCCCACUCUAAGAGCCAGGCAGCCUAUGCCUUCGUGUAGACCACACGGCUCAACUCCGCGCUUGGAUAGGGCAGGCCAGAGAUUAUAGCCCAUCAAAGCUCAGCCAUCAAGAACUACCCAACAUUCCACCACAUUGUUGCCCCCACUUGAGUCACAAGCCCACGUUACAAGGCUCGGCGAUUGUAGCUGUCUUGUUUCUCACUUAUAAAGUCCCAAAAUUCUCUAUUCAUAAAUGAUGUGGGAAGAAGAUAACUUUAUUGCAGUCUAUGUUAUUCAGAUUCUUUGAAAAUGUCAACAGAUGCGUGUCAGAUUCUCCAAAAAAUAGUGUGUUUUUGGAGUAUCCGACAGGAGUGCGGCAACAAAAGUGAAGAGACCCGCGCAACUUAGAUUUUAGUUAGCAUUUCAAACAGUUUUCUACCGGUGGAUAAAAUAAUAAAAUCAGGUCAAUCCAUGAUAUCAUUUCUGGAGGAACAUUUCUAAUGUUGGAAUUGUUUCUGUAGUGUAUGUUACUGUUAUGUUUUCAGGGUGCGGCUCUUUUCCGGACCUUGAAUGAUCGCGAGAUUUUUAAUACACUUGACUACUAAUUUGAUGAUCCAUUAGGAGUGUCAUCUUCUAACAAUCUGCUCCUGCCUAAUAAUUUAUGAGGCAGUGAGAAACUGUCUUUUUUAUUUUCAGAUAUGAUGUUGAAUUUUCACUCAAUUUUGUUGUUAAAAUUCGUAUAUAGCUCAAACUCUUCAAAAAUGUCAAUGGAUGCGUGUUAGAUUCUCCAAAAGUACUGUGCUUUUGGAGUAUCCUACGGUGGUGCGACAACUAAAGUGAAGAGUCCGUGCAACUUAGAUUUUAGUUAGGAUUUCAAACAGUUUUCUACUACAACAACAACAACAUUCUCAGUGUAUUCCCACAAAGUAGGGUCUAGGGAGGGUAAAAUUUACACAGUCCAUACCACUACCACAGAUGAAGAUGAAGUAGAUGAGUUGUUUCCGAUAGGCCCCGGAUAGCAAUAUAACAAACAAAAAACAUAAAAUAAACAACAAAACGGGAUAACACUGCUAGAUAAUAAAGAAACAAGACACCAACAAAAUAAUACCGUAAACUAUUUAUUCGAGAUCACAAAUAUCAUCAAAUACUAAAAACAAGAAACUACAGGCACAGAUACAAACAAUUUUCUAUCCAGUGGAUAAAAUAAUAAAAUCAAGUCAAUCCAUGAUAUCAUUUCUGGGGGAACAUUCCUAAUGUUGGAAUUGUUUAUGUAGUGUAUGUUUUACUGUUAUGUUCUCAGGGUGCGGCUCUUUUUCGGACCUUGAGUGAACGCGAGAUGCGUAGUACACCUGAUUGCUUAUUUGAUGAUCCAUAAGGAGUGUCAUCUUCUAACAAUCUGCUCCUACCUAAUAAUUUAUGAGGCGGUGAGAAAUUUCUGGCUUUUUUGUUUUCAGAUAUGAUGUUUGUUGUUCGUGAAAAUUCAUAUAUAGCUGACUCCAACUAAUUUGGGGUUAAGGUGUAAUUGGAUUCAUUAUUGUUCUUAAGUGGUAUUUACAAUGUAAUGAAUUCAGCACUACAAAUCUUAAAGGUCGAACUCAUUAAAUUUAAAUCUUGAAUCUGUCUCUGAACGUAACCAUCGAUUUUAUCCUGAAUACUCCAGCAUAGCUCAUUUGGCACAUAGUUUGAACUGACUUAGAAUUGACUGUCAUAUGUCAUUCAACAUUGAACUUUCUUGUAACAAUCCAAAAAUUUUGUUAGUAUGAUUAUUCUGCAUUUUGCUUAUUCUACUUGAUGAUGAAUAAGCUGAUUAUAAACAAGUAGGUGAUGUGCGUCAGAUAAGUGAUUAGCAACAUCUUUCAUUGAUCAAAUACUCAUGAGUCAAUAGUUUCUUGGCUAAUGGCAACAGUCAACCUUCUAUACUGGUUAUGUUUAUUAAUUUACGCGCUGAGGCAAAUGUCAAGCACGAUCAAGGUUCUGAAAUAAGUAGAUUUUUGGAUCACACGUCAUGAUCAAAAUAUCUCUUAUCGUCCUCAAUUCACCUCUAAUAAUAGGUGUAAGUCUUGUCUGCGUCCUCCUUGUGGAGUAAUAGAGUCAAAUAAAUGCACAAGGUCAUUUCGAUCCCUCAAAAGUUACCUAUCCAAGCAGAAAGAUCGUCUAAUUCCAAAGGUGGCUCGAAAAAAAUGGUGGUUUAAUUAGGCAGCGGGAGCUAUUCGUUGCUCUGUGAAAACAGCCUCACGCAGUCCACCCCACUCUAAGAGCCAAGCAGCCCAUACUUUCAUUUGGAUCAUGUGACCCAACUCUAUGCUUGGAUAAGGGCAGGCCAGAGAUUAGCUCACCGAGUCCAGCCAUCAAGAACAACCCUACAUUCCCCACUUUGAUGCCCCUACUUAGGUCAGAAGCCCACGCUACAAGGCUCGGCAAUGUCAGGUCCAUCUCAUCAAACUAAUAAAAAUGAAUAAGUCAUUGUUCAAAAAUGAUGUGAGAGAAGUGCAUUUGUUUAAACAUAGAAUAAGUUGUUGCAAUGACACAUAAUACUCUCUCUGGCAGAAAGAACAAU
rnacentral:lncRNA from 1 species